ensembl:lncRNA
GAACUCGGGUAUUAAUGACCCGGAGCCACAUGACAGAGCAUGACACAGCACUUUUGGGCGCAAGGCAGGGCCCAGAGGGGUGCGUGGGGGGCCGCAGCCCAGCCCCCUGGAGGCCGGCUGGCUGACCGAGCGCUGGGGACGGCACAGCUCGGACGAAACCGCCCGCUGUGAUGGGAGAGGUGGCGCGGCGUGGCAAGCAGCGAAGAACACGGACUCUGAGCCAGAAGGCCUGGCUCUGCUCCUGGCCCACCUCUCAUCAACUGUGAGACUUUGGGCAAGUUGCCUUACCUCUCUGAGCCUUUUCUGUCAAAUGGAAUAAAUUACAGUACCCACCUCGUGGGGCUGUUCUAAGAACACAGGCGUUAAUACGUGUGUUUA